rnacentral:rRNA from 1 species
GAUGAACGCUGGCGGCGUGCCUAAUACAUGCAAGUCGAGCGAACGGACGAGAAGCUUGCUUCUCUGAUGUUAGCGGCGGACGGGUGAGUAACACGUGGAUAACCUACCUAUAAGACUGGGAUAACUUCGGGAAACCGGAGCUAAUACCGGAUAAUAUUUUGAACCGCAUGGUUCAAAAGUGAAAGACGGUCUUGCUGUCACUUAUAGAUGGAUCCGCGCUGCAUUAGCUAGUUGGUAAGGUAACGGCUUACCAAGGCAACGAUGCAUAGCCGACCUGAGAGGGUGAUCGGCCACACUGGAACUGAGACACGGUCCAGACUCCUACGGGAGGCAGCAGUAGGGAAUCUUCCGCAAUGGGCGAAAGCCUGACGGAGCAACGCCGCGUGAGUGAUGAAGGUCUUCGGAUCGUAAAACUCUGUUAUUAGGGAAGAACAUAUGUGUAAGUAACUGUGCACAUCUUGACGGUACCUAAUCAGAAAGCCACGGCUAACUACGUGCCAGCAGCCGCGGUAAUACGUAGGUGGCAAGCGUUAUCCGGAAUUAUUGGGCGUAAAGCGCGCGUAGGCGGUUUUUUAAGUCUGAUGUGAAAGCCCACGGCUCAACCGUGGAGGGUCAUUGGAAACUGGAAAACUUGAGUGCAGAAGAGGAAAGUGGAAUUCCAUGUGUAGCGGUGAAAUGCGCAGAGAUAUGGAGGAACACCAGUGGCGAAGGCGACUUUCUGGUCUGUAACUGACGCUGAUGUGCGAAAGCGUGGGGAUCAAACAGGAUUAGAUACCCUGGUAGUCCACGCCGUAAACGAUGAGUGCUAAGUGUUAGGGGGUUUCCGCCCCUUAGUGCUGCAGCUAACGCAUUAAGCACUCCGCCUGGGGAGUACGACCGCAAGGUUGAAACUCAAAGGAAUUGACGGGGACCCGCACAAGCGGUGGAGCAUGUGGUUUAAUUCGAAGCAACGCGAAGAACCUUACCAAAUCUUGACAUCCUUUGACAACUCUAGAGAUAGAGCUUUCCCCUUCGGGGGACAAAGUGACAGGUGGUGCAUGGUUGUCGUCAGCUCGUGUCGUGAGAUGUUGGGUUAAGUCCCGCAACGAGCGCAACCCUUAAGCUUAGUUGCCAUCAUUAAGUUGGGCACUCUAAGUUGACUGCCGGUGACAAACCGGAGGAAGGUGGGGAUGACGUCAAAUCAUCAUGCCCCUUAUGAUUUGGGCUACACACGUGCUACAAUGGACAAUACAAAGGGCAGCGAAACCGCGAGGUCAAGCAAAUCCCAUAAAGUUGUUCUCAGUUCGGAUUGUAGUCUGCAACUCGACUACAUGAAGCCGGAAUCGCUAGUAAUCGUAGAUCAGCAUGCUACGGUGAAUACGUUCCCGGGUCU